GACGAACGCUGGCGGCGUGCUUAACACAUGCAAGUCGAACGCUGAAGCCCUUUCGGGGGUGGAUGAGUGGCGAACGGGUGAGUAACACGUGGGUCAUAUGCCCUGUCCUUCGGGAUAAGCCUUGGAAACGGGGUCUAAUACCGGAUAGGACCUGUCAUCGGAUGGGGGUGGGUGGAAAGUUCCGGCGGUGUGGGAUGAGCCCGCGGCCUAUCAGCUUGUUGGGGGGGUGAUGGCAUACCAAGGCGACGACGGGUAGCCGGCCUGAGAGGGUGACCGGUCACACUGGGACGGAGACACGGCCCAGACGCAUACGGGAGGCAGCAGUGGGUAAUCUUGCGCAAUGGGGGAAAGCCUGACGCAGCAACGCCGCGUGGUGGAUGACGGCCUUCGGGUUGUAAACCUCUUUCGGUAUCGACGAAGGGGUCCUUGUUGGGUCUCUGACGGUAGGUGCAGAAGAAGCACCGGCUAACUACGUGCCAGCCGCCGCGGUAA
rnacentral:rRNA from 1 species